GACGAACGCUGGCGGCGUGCCUAAUACAUGCAAGUCGAGCGGAAUGAAGAAGAAGCUUGCUUCUUCUGAUUUUAGCGGCGGACGGGUGAGUAACACGUGGGCAACUACCUUGUAGAUUGGGAUAACUCCGGGAAACCGGGGCUAAUACCGAAUAAUCCAUUUUGCUUCAUGGCGAGAUGUUAAAAGGCGGCUUCGGCUGUCACUACGAGAUGGGCCCGCGGCGCAUUAGCUAGUUGGUAGGGUAAUGGCCUACCAAGGCGACGAUGCGUAGCCGACCUGAGAGGGUGAUCGGCCACACUGGGACUGAGACACGGCCCAGACUCCUACGGGAGGCAGCAGUAGGGAAUCUUCCACAAUGGACGAAAGUCUGAUGGAGCAACGCCGCGUGAGUGAAGAAGGUUUUCGGAUCGUAAAACUCUGUUGUAAGGGAAGAACACGUACGAGAGUAACUGCUCGUACCUUGACGGUACCUUAUUAGAAAGCCACGGCUAACUACGUG
rnacentral:rRNA from 1 species